ACGCUCGACACCUACGGGAGGCUGCAGUGGGGAAUAUUGCACAAUGGGGGAAACCCUGAUGCAGCGACGCCGCGUGAGUGAAGAAGUAUUUCGGUAUGUAAAGCUCUAUCAGCAGGGAAGAAGAUGACGGUACCUGAGUAAGAAGCCCCGGCUAACUACGUGCCAGCAGCCGAGGUAAUCUGAGCGGGCUGGCAAGGC
rnacentral:rRNA from 1 species